GUUGAACCAUAAAUCUCAUAUAAUGGCAAAACAAUUUGACUAAUCACAGUGGACAAGACCAUUAAGGGGUCCAAUUUACUGACAUGGAUGAUUUGGUCUCUUUGUAAUAUACUUCCAUUUGAGAUUUUUAGAUGUGAACACUUGUGCAAAAUGGUGUUGAGAUCCAUUGCUCAGGCAGCAAGUCUGAUGAACUAGCAAGUCUGAAAGCAAUUGCUGCAAAACCAACCCAACUGGGAAUUAAUUAAUUAGUUAUUCCCAUAAUCUCUAAGCUUCAAUAGAUUAACAACUAUGGUUCUGUUUAGAACGCAGCAUUUUUUGAACAAAGUGCAAUAUUCUGAAUCAUCUUCCUAUCAAGUUGUAUAUAUCAAUUGACCUUGACUAUAUGGUUCAGGAGUAAAGAGAAGCUUAGAACAUAAUCAAUGGGAGAUGCACAUAUUCGUGCCUGAAUAUAAAAAUUGCAAUUGACGAGGACUUCAGAUUAGCCUACUUAGUUCUAUAAUACAGGACUUGGCUACCUAAUAUCAUCAAGAGUUCCAUAUAAAUUUGUAGUAAUGGUACAUAUAUAGAAUCGUACAGGAGCUAGAGAAGCAAAAAAAGAGAGAUGGAAUCUCAACAUUGCAGCCACAAACAUUUCUUGAUACCUCAUUACUUUGAUGAUGACGAUGAUGAAGAAAUGAAUUGCAUGGCCUGUGAGAGAGUUACUAAUCCUAGUGAACCAUCUCAUAUUCUUACGAAUAUUUCCUGCAUGACCAAUGUCUUAACUUGCUUCGCUUGCUUCACCAGCCACCUCACAAUUCUCACCCACUCAUUCUCUUUCUGUUGUGAAAAAUCACACCGACACAAAUCACAGUGGACAAGACCAUAGUGG
rnacentral:misc_RNA from 1 species